GAUGAACGCUGGCGGCGUGCCUAAUACAUGCAAGUAGAACGCUGAAGGAGGAGCUUGCUCUUCUGGAUGAGUUGCGAACGGGUGAGUAACGCGUAGGUAACCUGCCUGGUAGCGGGGGAUAACUAUUGGAAACGAUAGCUAAUACCGCAUGACAACAGUUAAUGCAUGAUAAUUGUUAAUAAGGGGCAACUGCUCCACUACUAGAUGGACCUGCGUUGUAUUAGCUAGUUGGUGAGGUAACGGCUCACCAAGGCGACGAUACAUAGCCGACCUGAGAAGGUGAUCGGCCACACUGGGACUGGGACACGGCCCAGACUCCUAAGGGGGGCAGCAGUAGGGGAUCUUCGGCAAUGGACGGAAGUCUGACCGAGCAAAGGCGCGUGAGUGAAGGAGGUUUUCGGAUCGUAAAGCUCUGUUGUAAGAGAAGAACGAGUGUGAGAGUGGAAAGUUCACACUGUGACGGUAUCUUACCAGAAAGGGACGGCUAACUACGUG
rnacentral:rRNA from 1 species